GGCCUCCCAUGUUGUUAACUUCCUUGAGUUAAGUACAAACUGGUCCUUAAAGGAUAGAAACAAUGGAUGUAUUUGUUUGUUUUGUACAAAACAGGGAAGUUGUGGAUUACUUUUAUUACUGAAUAUCAUUUCUGCUCACCUGAUAUAUUGAUAUUGACACUAAACAAAACGGACAGGUAAUUUGUUUACUUUAUACCUGUACAUUUUACCCUGGUCAAAGUUGGUUUAUAGGACAAAAAGCACAUGGUAAAACUUUCUUGAUUUUAGAUGCCUUUCUAUGUCCAAUUCAUAUUUUUGUCAUACCCUGAACCAUUUAAAUUUCUCAAAAGGUCACUUUCUGUAAUUCAGUCAAAUUUUUAUAUUUUUUCAAGGUGAAUUAAAUAGUUUUAAAGAGAGCAAACAUUUUCUUUCUUUAUUACAGUAUGAAAUUCAAUCUAAUGUAUUUUAUUGUUCAAACAUCACGAUCAACAUAAAUUUAAAUAAAGCAAAGCCCAUUCAAUUCCUUUCCCAUUUAACAUGAAUUGAAUAAUCCGAUACCAUCUAAUAUAUUUCUGAUAAUUAAUAGAUCAUUCAAUAUUGCAGAGUUACUGAAUAAGACAUGUAUGUCAUAUAAAUCUUUAGCAUUUCUUAUGCUAUUGAAAGAUUAUAUAGAUAUAAUAGCAAUGUCCUAAAAAUAAUUGCAUUUUGUAAAAAGGCCGGCCUGUAAUGACAUUGCACAGCUCUUUACUUGUUUCUGCUCUUUGAUUAACUGCAUAGCCAAUACAUGUUUUUUUUUCAUGUAAUUAUUUAAACACUGUAUCAUUUAAUUUAACAUAUAUACUUUAAACACAAGUUUUAGUUUGAAAUUAUACAUGUAGAACAUUUGUAACAAAAAAAUAAUUCUUGAAAUGCUUCAAAUAGAAAUUAGCUUUCUUCUGAAGGCUUUUAAAAAGCCUAUUGCAGAUUUUCUUUCAUAGAAAUGAAAAUAUGGAAUGAAAGUUCAUUCAACAACACAUUGAAAUCACUUUAGAUGGUCGUGUUAUACAAUUGAAUAGUUAAUAAAGAUAAGUUUUAAGUUUUUCCAUGGUGAAAGGGAGAUAAUUCAAUUCAUUGAAAUGUUAGGUAACUCAAUACAAUCUCAUUCAACUUUUGUUUACUAUUUCACUUACAGUAAUACAGCAAUGGUGGAUCAUUUAAUAAAAUUGAGUAUGACUUUGUGGAUAAGACUUAUAGUUACUCUGGUAAAUUAGUGGCGGAUCUAGAAAAAGAGGGGAAGGGCACUUGGAAAGCAUCAGUUAAUCCCUAUAUAAUCAACCAAAUUUUUCCAACAAAAGUUAGGUCCCAGACACUCUGGCCCCCUAGAUUUGCAGCUGAAUUAAUUAAAAAAUUUUCUCCAUUAACUGUGAGGUAAAUCAGUAAGUGUUGCCAAAUAUUUAUUUUACUAUUAAGUUUUGAGAUAUUGAGAUUUUAUUUGUCUGUUGAAUUGAGAUUUUGCAACCCCUCCUCUUUAUAUCUUUUUUAAAAAAUAUAUAAUAUACGAACCAACA
rnacentral:lncRNA from 1 species